UAAUUCCUAAGGUCUUACCGAAAUUUUGACAAAGUCUCCCUUAUAACUAGACCUAACCUCCCUGCAAGAAAAAAACAUAACAACAAUAACAUACAGGACCUCAAGUCCACAACAAUAAUUAUAAUGCCUAUCCGGGGGCCUACAAGAAUCUUAAUUUAAGUCAAAUCCUCCAAAAUUCAGCUCAAGUUUUUAACUCCUCUACAAUUUAAAUAAUUAUUUUUAACACUUUAAAAAUUAUAAAAAUA
rnacentral:misc_RNA from 1 species